CCUAAUUUUGCUACCACUUUUACAGGGUUCGGGUAUUGUUUGGUCACUUUAUUACCAGGGACUGCCAUAUUAAUUAAAUUAGGUAGCGCAUACGACUGUUGUCGGCGGGCCUCGCUCUGCUUAGAAUUUCCUUUACGAUUCCUGAGGACGGGUAUUCAUCUCCCCAUGGGGUACAGGCAUUUUUGUCAUGCCCUUAUGGUGGGUUCUGUCGGGUUUUGCCCAUUCACUGAUUCUGGAUUUAUUUCUGUUAUUAUACCUUGUUUUUCU